UACGUAGGUGGCAAGCGUUGUCCGGAAUUAUUGGGCGUAAAGCGCGCGCAGGCGGUCCUUUAAGUCUGGUGUGAAAGCCUACGGCUCAACCGUGGAGGGUCAUUGGAAACUGGGUGACUUGAGUGCAGGAGAGAAGAGUGGAAUUCCACGUGUAGCGGUGAAAUGCGUAGAUAUCGAGAGGAACACCUGCGGCGAAGGCGGGUUGCUGGUCUGACACUGACGCUGAGGCGCGAAAGCUAGGGGAGCGAACGGG
rnacentral:rRNA from 1 species